rnacentral:rRNA from 1 species
AUGAUUUAUUACUUCUCUGCUAAAUAUUUCCCUGCUCAUAAGAAACAAGCUGCCUUGCGGGAAAUAUAUAACUUUGUGCAAAUCAAAGAAGAGAGUCUCCCACAAGCUUGGGGGAGGCUUCUCUGGUUAUUUAAUGCUUUGCCUGAUCAUCCUCUUAAGAAAAAUGAAAUACUUGAUAUCUUUUAUAAUAGACUAACCAAUGCUUCCAAGGACUACUUGGAUAGUUGUGCUGGUUGUGUUUUCAGGGAAAGAACAGUCGACGAAGCUGAAAUACUAUUGAAUAAUAUGUUGACUAAUGAAAAUAAUUGGACUCUUCCCGAGCCAGUUCCUGAAGUAAUUCCUGAACCAAUUGAGCCAACUCCUGAGCCUAUUCCUAAACCCACUUCGAAGAAGAGAGGUGUUUUAUUUCUCAGUCCUGAAGAUAUGCAAUAG